UACGAAGGGGGGCUAGCGUUGUUCGGAAUUACUGGGCGUAAAGGGCGCGUAGGCGGCCUUGUGAGUCGAGUGUGAAAGCCCUGGGCUUAACCCGGGAAGCGCGCUUGAUACUGCAGGGCUUGAGUGUGGGAGAGGAUGAUGGAAUUCCCAGUGUAGAGGUGAAAUUCGUAGAUAUUGGGAAGAACACCGGUGGCGAAGGCGAUCAUCUGGACCACAACUGACGCUGAGGCGCGAAAGCGUGGGGAGCGAACAGG
rnacentral:rRNA from 1 species